UCCUCGUUGAAGCGAGGCAGUCUGUCCGGAGUGCUCCCUACUCUCGUCACCCUUUCAGGCUUCUACUAUGUGCAUGUCAAGGCCAGGUAAGGUUCUUCGCGUUGCAUCGAAUUAAGCCACAUACUCCACCGCUUGUGCAGGCCCCCGUCAAUUUCUUUGAGUUUUAAUCUUGCGACCGUACUUCCCAGGCGGCUUGCUUAACGUGUUAACUCCGCCACAAAAGGGGUCGAUUCCUUUUACAGCAAGCAAGCACCGUUUACAGCUAGGACUAC
rnacentral:misc_RNA from 1 species